rnacentral:rRNA from 1 species
UGCGUAGGUGGCCGGGUAAGUCUGAUGUGAAAUCUCCGAGCCUAACUCGGAAACUGCAUCGGAUACUAUUCGGCUGGAGGGUUGGGAGGGGGGACUGGAAUACUUGGUGUAGCAGUGAAAUGCGUAGAUAUCAAGUGGAACACCAGUGGCGAAGGCGAGUCCCUGGACAACUCCUGACACUGAGGCACGAAAAGGCUAGGGAGCAAAACA